CCGAGUGAGGGCCUUCGGGCUCGACCUCCAACCCUUUGUGUACACAUCUUGUUGCUUCGGGGGCGACCCUGCCGCUCCGACGGCGAGCGCCCCCGGAGGCCUUCAAACACUGCAUCUUUGCGUCGGAGUUUAAGUAAAUUUAAACAAAACUUUCAACAACGGA
rnacentral:misc_RNA from 1 species